AGGGUGAAGGGCAUUGGGCCUUGUGCACGUACGUGGGCAACGCAGGGGCUUCAGUUCGGAACUGUUUGCGAGGGAGACUGAUUGUACGUAGAUACAGCCCUGCGUUUGGUUUUGUUCUAAGAUGUAAGGUUAAGACUACUUCCUCUUAUUUCAUCGGACGGCCAGGACCACGUAUUACUCUUGCCACGUUUAUCUGAGUGCAAGGAUAAGACUGCUUCCCUGCUAUGUCGGGCGACCAGGACCACGAAUUACUUUGGCCACAUUUAUCUGAAGUUAAUUAACAAAGGUAGAAGUUUCAAGAGGGAAAAUCCUUGAAGAAAAAUUCCUGAAUAAAAUAUGUACGUAAGAAAAAGAAAAA
rnacentral:lncRNA from 1 species